UUUCAUUUCCUGCUUGGAAGACUAGUGAUUUUAUUGUUUGUAAAGCCUUAAACAAUAGAUCACUGUCUCCCAUCGGUGAAUGAAA
rnacentral:pre_miRNA from 1 species